rnacentral:ncRNA from 2 species
AUGGAGCAUGACGGGUGUUCGAGGCAUGCUUCGCGAAGCAAGCAAGCAUGACUCGUUCUGAGAGAUACCGUUAGAACUUGAUCUGGAUAAUACCAGCGAAAGGACUAUGCUUCAUACAUCUC